rnacentral:rRNA from 1 species
CUCUAUGGCCAUACCACCCUGAACAUGUGCAAUCUCACCUGAUCUCAGAAGCUAAGCAGGGUCGGGCCUGGUUAGUACGUGGAUGGGAGAAAAAAAUUAUAUAACAAUAGCCUUGGUGAACAUAGGUGCUAAAAUCC